rnacentral:rRNA from 1 species
GACAGAGGAUGCAAGCGUUAUCCGGAAUGAUUGGGCGUAAAGCGUCUGUAGGUGGCUUUUUAAGUCCGCCGUCAAAUCCCCGGGCUCACCCCGGGACCUGCAUCCCAAACUGCUGAGCUUGAGUACAGGAGAGGGUGGGGGAAUUCCAGGUGUAGCGGUGAAAUGCGUAGAUAUCUGGAGGAACACCGGUGGCGAAGGCGCCCACCUGGCCUGCUACUGACGCUGAAGCUCGAAAGCUAGGGGAGCAAACGGG